UCAUUAUCCUAGAACCAUAAACAAAAAAUACCAAGACUGGAAUUUUUCGUACGUCUUCCCCCCAAAACCCUUUUGUGUACAGUGCUGUCUGUGAAUAUAUGUUGGUAAAUGACGUUGGUAAAUGACGUUAACACGCACACAUUUAUAGAUUCACGACAUUCACCACACAUCCGACACGAACACAACGAUAGGUUCACGACAUUCACCACACCUCGCAGCUUGUAGGCAAACGUCAGUUGACCGCCGAGUUUCCAGUCUUGGUAUAUUUUGUUUAUGCCUGGUACCAACCAAGAACCAAGCAGCCGUAAGCAGCACAGCCAAAGUCAUGUGUUGCUCAAGCUGUGGGCAGAAGCGACACCAUCUGCUGGCCCAACAGCAGCUACCGAAGAAAACAUUGUCACUCGCCCCAGUCAUCACGGCUCAUGUUACUCGUUGUUGCUUCCGGCAUUGAUAUGGUCAAGCCAAGGGGCGACUUUCCAUUAAGGGCGCACGCUUAGAGUUGUGAUUUUAUUUUUUACAGUGAGCUUAGGGUCUCAAUAGUAUACCUUUAAAAUAUUAAGUCAUUAAUCUUUCAAAUAAAAUUAUUCGCGUAUUAAAAUUCGUGCACCCCUAAAGUUGAGCCGUUGUACACAUUCGACAUUUACCAAUUGACCAAUCCCAUCACAUCGACUACCUCACUCACGGGCAAAGAGAUUGUCUAUGGGAGCUACGAGCCUACGACAGGACCAUCCGAAUUUACGAUGCCACAACAGCCAUUCUCGCCAAAUAUAUCACCUAAAGGAAAGCGAAUGCAAAAGCCUUGCUUGCGUUGCCUCUAGUUUGGACAACAGAUAUGUACGUCUUAUCUGGAUCAGAGGAGAUGAACAUCAUGCAUGUUGAAGGCCAGAGCAUCGAGAAAGUUGGCCUGGUCAGACCAUUUGAGCCAUCCGACUUUAACUACCAGACUACUUAGAGAAUAUGAGUUCAUGGGAUAUAGAACCCAUCGAUGAAAAUCGUUUACCAGCUGGAGUUGAUGCAAGGUAUAAAAACUUCUUUUUGGAUAUCUGACAAGUAAAACAUCAGCGUAUUCGAUAUAAAAAGGUCAUAAAAAUCCACCACCUAAAAAUGCCGAACACCUCCAGUUAAUACUCAAAAUCCAGCACAGUUACCACAACCUCCACAGCAACAACAAGAGCAUCAGCAAAAUAUCAAUCCAAAUCAAACAAUUAUAACGAGUACAAAGAACAAAGCUAAUAUUUUCGUUUCUUAUUCCAUAAUUUUUAAACAAUUUUUAACACAUGAUCUUCUACUCGAGGAGAUAGGAAUGUGUACCUAGUUGUUGUACUAGAUUUCUACUCACGAGUAAACUGCCACCUCCAAUGGAACAGGGCUAUUAUAUUCUUUGAACAACAACAACAUCUUGAAGGUGCUACCACCAAGUGUUUAUGGCUAAAGUUACAGCACUGUUUAAGGGAUGC